ensembl:rRNA 5S_rRNA 5S ribosomal RNA
AUAAUCAGCCAUAUCACCCUGCAACUCACAACUGGCAACCCACUGAAGCUAAGCAGGUGUGAGCCUGGUCAGUACCUGGAUGGGUUACCUCCUGGGAAAAACUAAGGUUGCUGCUGGAA